rnacentral:rRNA from 1 species
GGCGGCGUGCUUAACACAUGCAAGUCGAACGAUGAAGCCUUUCGGGGUGGAUUAGUGGCGAACGGGUGAGUAACACGUGGGCAAUCUGCCCUUCACUCUUGGGACAAGCCCUGGAAACGGGGUCUAAUACCGGAUACGACCUCCGACCGCAUGGUCUGGUGUGGAAAGCUCCGGCGUUGAAGGAUGAGCCCGCGGCCUAUCAGCUUGUUGGUGCGGUGAUGGCCUACCAAGGCGACGACGGGUAGCCGGCCUGAGAGGGCGACCGGCCACACUGGGACUGAGACACGGCCCAGACUCCUACGGGAGGCAGCAGUGGGGAAUAUUGCACAAUGGGCGAAAGCCUGAUGCAGCGACGCCGCGUGAGGGAUGACGGCCUUCGGGUUGUAAACCUCUUUCAGCAGGGAAGAAGCGAGAGUGACGGUACCUGCAGAAGAAGCGCCGGCUAACUACGUGCCAGCAGCCGCGGUAAUACGUAGGGCGCAAGCGUUGUCCGGAAUUAUUGGGCGUAAAGAGCUCGUAGGCGGCUUGUCGCGUCGGAUGUGAAAGCCCGGGGCUUAACCCCGGGUCUGCAUUCGAUACGGGCAGGCUAGAGUUCGGUAGGGGAGAUCGGAAUUCCUGGUGUAGCGGUGAAAUGCGCAGAUAUCAGGAGGAACACCGGUGGCGAAGGCGGAUCUCUGGGCCGAUACUGACGCUGAGGAGCGAAAGCGUGGGGAGCGAACAGGAUUAGAUACCCUGGUAGUCCACGCCGUAAACGUUGGGAACUAGGUGUGGGCGACAUUCCACGUCGUCCGUGCCGCAGCUAACGCAUUAAGUUCCCCGCGUGGGGAGUACGGCCGC